rnacentral:rRNA from 1 species
UCUGGAAACGGAUGGUAAUACCCUGUAACAUAAUCGAACCGCAUGAUUUGAUUAUCAAAGAUUUAUCGCUCAGAGAUGGGCUCGCGUCUGAUUAGAUAGUUGGUGAGGUAACGGCUCACCAAGUCGACGAUCAGUAGCCGGACUGAGAGGUUGAACGGCCACAUUGGGACUGAGACACGGCCCAGACUCCUACGGGAGGCAGCAGUGGGGAAUAUUGCACAAUGGGGGAAACCCUGAUGCAGCGAAGCCGCGUGGAGGAAGAAGGUUUUCGGAUUGUAAACUCCUGUCUUAAAGG